ACCUCCAGUUGUAAGAACCGCGAGAACCACUCUCAACCAAUCAGAAGAGAGGGUAUUUUAGUCAUUUACACCAAAUAUCAAAUCUACCUCUCUCUUCAUUUAAGACUUUAUAACCUCUCUCCUCUCUCCUCUCUCUUCUCUCUUAUUAACCUCAUCACAUUCAUCAUCUUCUACAUUUUUCACCUGUUUGUCACUAUCUCUCUUGCUUUAUCUUUGACCUUGCACUAGAGGCCCAUUGCAUGCCUUCUCACUAUUUUUUCCUAACCUCAGUCAAGACGGUCACCGGUUCCCCUUGUCCCUCUCUCUCUUGCUGCCUAACCUUAGUCAAGACGGUCACCGGUUCCCCUUUUUCCGGCGAUAGUUACAAGCGUCCCACCCACACCCCUCGGUUCCCCUCUUUCCGACGACAGCCACCAGCCAAACACCCCCCCCCCUCCGUCUAUGGUGGCGGCGCGUGAUGCCGGUGGUUGAGUUUUCCGGCCGGCCACUGAUACCCCUGGUUAACAUCUUAGUGGAUCAAGAAAAUAUAUAGAUAAGAAAGCUACAACCUUUUUGUUUCUGUGUACAGAAUUUGAUUGUUUGGUAGCGGGAGACUUUAGUGAUUGUUAGGUAGCUUUAAUGGUAUACAUGGAGAGGGUAGGUGUGUAUCAUACACUGUUUUCUUGAUCCAGUUGAAAAUCACGGCGACGGAAGUGGGGGUUCUUUUUUCUGUAUUUUGUAGAUUUUGUGAUAUAUGAAGUGGGGGUGCUUUUUUCUGGAUUUUAAUCGGUCGUUAGUAGGUGGUUGGUCAGCGCCGGAACACGUUGGUGGGAGGUGGUUGGUCGGUGGUGGUGGCGGGGAAUGAUGGGGCGAAGGGGGUGGGUGAUCUGAUGGCUCGGGGAGAGAGGCUGUGGGUGAUCUGCAACCCCAUCUCUGGUGACAUGUUUUGAUUUUUUUUUUAAUCUUUGUUUGAGCCCUGGAUCUUGUGUGGGUUUGAUUUCUGUUGUUUGGUUUGUUUCUUUGAAUCUGUGGGUUUUGGUACGAUCGAUUGGGUGGCGAUGAUGCAAAAAAAAACGUAGAUUUUGAUAUCGAUGGCGCGGCAAGGACAGCGGAGGGUAGGUUUUUUAAACCUGCAACCCCGACUUUUGCAGCCUUUUGAUUAUCGGAUAAUCUGAGCCAAACCCCGUUUUUUUUUCGAUAUACACUUUCUUUUGAUGUUGUUA